UGGGACGUAGCUCAGCGGUAGAGCAACGGUUUUUGGUAUCGUAGGUCGGAGGUUCGAACCCUCCCGUCCCAGCCA
rnacentral:tRNA from 1 species